CCGGCCCCGCCCCCUCUGCUUGGCCCGGUCGUGAGGAGUGGCGACGAAAGCAGCCGCCUUCCGCCCCGUACCGGGCUGAGCUGUGGGUGCAGCUGCUGGGGCUUGUGGCCAGCGUAGGGCGGCUCCAUAAUGGGGAAGCGGGUGCCUCCCUGUCCCCACAGGCAGGAGCGGCAGCAGGGAUGCUGCAGCUAAGAGUCUAGAGCACAGUCCUGCAGUACAGCCUGGACCACAUCUUCUGCAGCAAAGUUCCUGUCUGUGGAGUGGAGCUGAUUAUCAUCACCCUUGGGCUACUUUGUCCUAGUGCAAAGGAUCCAGGGGUACAAGGUGAUGUGGAACAAGACUCCCCCAGCAGGAUGGCACAGCGAGACACAAUGCCACAGAUUAAGUAGCUGCCGCAUGCACCACCCCCUUUCUGGGCUAGCUCUUCCACUUGGGUUUGAAGACCAGGUCUCAACAACAGGCCCACUUGUUGCUCCACACCCGCUAGGGUGGCUGAUGGCACCAUAAAUAAGGCUACCUUUUAGUCACAGCUAUUUGUAGUAAAAGUCACGGACAGGUCACAGACUGUGAAUUUUUGUUUACUGCCUGUCCGUGACUUUUACUACAAAUACCCGUGACUAAAACUUGGGCAGGGGACUGUGGGUGCUUUGGGGGGUGCACUCUGGGGGUGUUGCGGGUGCUGGGGGAACUGGCCCAGGGCACCCCGCUGGGGGUGGGGGCCAGGCAGUGUGGCCCGGGACCCUCCCUGUUGCUGGGGGGGGAAGGGUUGGCGGGGCUGGCAGGGGCUCCCUACCUGGCUCCACGUCCCUGCAGCUCCUAGGCAGCGGAGGGGUCAGGAGGCUCUGUGCGCUGCUCCUGCCACAAGCACCAGCUGCUGCAGCUCCCAUUGGCUGCAAACCGCAGCCAAUGGGAGCUGAUGGGGAGGGGCCCGUGGGCAUGAGCAGCAUGCAGCGCGGAGCCUUCCUCUGGCCCCUUCUCCACCUAGGAGCUGCAGGGACAUGCCCCUUCCUCAACCCGUUGGCCAUCGCCCCCUCCCACACACCCAAACUGCUGCUGCUGGCUCUGGGGCUGUCUGGUUUGGGCAGCCCCUGAGCCAGCAGCUGCAGAAGUCAUGGAGGUCACAGAAAGUCACGGAAUCCGUGACUUCUGUGACCUCUGUGAAAGACUCAUAGACUUAAACAUAAACAACAUUAGCUUUCUGCCUGUUACCCACCCACACUGUCUGUGCAUAACCUUGACCCCUAGGGUUUUAUCUCUGAAUCUGUUACAAAUCUUGAUUUCUUCAGUCAUUACAUUUUGAAUAAAUAAUAGAAUCUGAGGAUUUGAAGGAAAAAAAUCAUGAGUGCAAAACUCCAAGUCAGUCAACACUUAAGUCUUGAAAAUAAACAGCAAUAUUUUCCAUGAAAAUACGUGACAACAAAUUUGUAAUCUUUGCUUGCUUAUUUUAAAAAUACACUGCCAGAAAUGUUAGAGCUGGUAAAGAUGCAUUGGCAGAGCUGUGGGAAACUAAAAGGUUUCAUCUUGUGUGUUCUUUAAAUCUGUGCUAAAGUGUUAAAAGUGUCAAGGACCUUU